UACGGGGGGGGGCAAGCGUUGUUCGGAAUUACUGGGCGUAAAGAGCUCGUAGGCGGCUUGUCGCGUCGACUGUGAAAACCCGCGGCUCAACUGUGGGCUUGCAGUCGAUACGGGCAGGCUGGAGUUCGGUGAGGGAGGACUGGAAUUCCUGGUGUAGCGGUGGAAAUGACGCAGAUAUCAGGAGGAACACCGGUGGCGAAGGCGGGUCUCUGGGCCGAUACUGACGCUGAGGAGCGAAAGCGUGGGGAGCGAACAGG
rnacentral:rRNA from 1 species